UUCAGAAUGUACUGUUGUUCUGUAUUGUAGCCUAUGCAAACAAUUUGAAACAUAAGUAGGAAAAUCUGACAUGUGAACUGUGAUCUAACAUCAGAACUGAUCCUGCAAAGCUUUCAGGUUAUUAGGAGCAUUCUGAUCAAAAUGAGUUCCGCUAUGCGUGUCAUGUGUCAUGAUAGAAACCUUGUGCUUUCACGCCAGUGAAUGACCACUCCCACUUCCCCUGCCUUCACAUGGCUGAUAUGGAAAAUACAGAAGCUGCUUUGACAAGCCAUUGCAUUUUGAAAUGACAAAUUAGAGAUGUUUCCAUGUUUGUUGGGCUGAGGUGUAUUGCUGUUUACACAUGUAGGCAGGAAUAUUUCCCAUGUUCUGACUUAGCAAAGGUAAGGUGUGAAGGUAUGUCCAAAGCUCCCUGGCUUAGUGUAGUUAUAAAUAGCCCAGUGCACGGGUGUGAGAGUGCACUUGGCAGAAGCCUCUGCGAGAGGUCUGUCAUCAGCCCAGCCCCACCAGCCAUCUCCCUCUGACAGAAGCCAAGAGCCCAACUGAUGGGAGUUUACACUAGGACAUGUCUAAACCGGAGGAUGGAGGAUCAGCUAUGCCAGGGGGGAGGUGCUGUAAUAGUAUCAUUCUAAGGAGAGAAGCAGACGUGGGUGUUCAACUACACAGAGGACAGGAGACCUGCAAAAGAAGAACCGUUGGUCCAGCCCACCGUUUAACUCUCUAACACACUCUCACAAAACCCUUUCAAAUGUUGUCACUUGACAGACUGGGUUGACUUUGACAAAAAAAAAAGUUCCACCAAAACUGUUGUCAAAACAAACACCCAAACAAUCAAACAUUCAGAUGUUGUCUCCUGUCUCUCUGUCAGGGGAAAGACCAUGUGUAAGAGGAGGAGUAGAUCAGGGAUAUUAAAGUAGAUCUCAGAGGUUUUUUCUUUUGCCUAAACUGUGACAGACAAUGGCUGUACUUCACUGCCUUUCUCUUUGGCAGGACUGCUGCAUGAGAUACAUUGUCAUGGCCAAGUCAAUCCUAAACGCAUGUCCAUGUAGGAUAUCUCCAAGUAAGAAGCAACAUGUUUAAUCAAAACUUCUUAGUUUUGAAAAGGUAUGACAUACUACUUAAGAAUAAACAACAAAAAUAAAA